UACAGAGGGCUCAAGCGUUGUUCGGAUUUAUUGGGCGUAAAGGGCGCGUAGGCGGCGCGGUAAGUCGGGUGUGAAAUCUCGGGGCUUAACUCCGAAACUGCAUUCGAUACUGCCGUGCUUGAGGACUGGAGAGGAGACUGGAAUUUACGGUGUAGCGGUGAAAUGCGUAGAUAUCGUAAGGAAGACCAGUGGCGAAGGCGGGUCUCUGGACAGUUCCUGACGCUGAGGCACGAAGGUCAGGGGAGCAAACGGG
rnacentral:rRNA from 1 species